CACGGUCAGUCUGCUACUGCAGCACCACAUCCUCCAUCAUUGUGGGACUGUGGAACGACAACAUCCUGGUGUUCAGAGUGGAAUAGUGUGUACAUUUGCUGCUGGGUCGGGUCAACGAUGCUGAGGAUGUGGGGGACAAGCAUGACGCAGAAGGAGAGCACCAGCAUUAAUAUCGAGUUGGCCAAGCAACAGCACCAGUCUGGCCUGCAGGAGCCCCAAUACAGAACCAUCCUUUCCCUCCCCUGAUCCCUAGCUCCUCCCACUGGACCUCCGGCCUCAAAGGGUAAGCAUCUUUACACAAGUCUGUGCAAUAAAUCCUCAGCACGUCAAGUUUUCACGCGCUGUUAUGAACAACCGAAAUAUCCGUGUCGAGAUUUCCCCAAGCAAGCCCGAGUAGUUUUGUUUAGCUCUAGUGCCAGAGUGGGAUGAGUGUUACAGAAGCGAGACGUUAUAGCAGUACUUAUGGUAAUGCUAACAGUUAACGCAAACAGUUAGUUCUCACUGUGGACAUCACGAAGAAUCUCACGAAGGAUUAAACGUUGAAUAGUUUGUUCAAUUCUUUAUAAGACAGCUAUAUAUUCAGCAAGGAACGAGAGAAAAAAAGGAACAAUUGAAAUGAUUCAUUCAGAAGUAUAUCUGCUGUAGAUAGUUAGGACAGUAGUAGCGUUACAGACUGUCCUCAGCGCACAAUAUAUUCAUGUGGUGCACCACAGACGCAAAUUCCCCCCAUUAUUGAAAACAAGUUGCUAAAAGUAAACACGUCCGAUUAUGUACUCCGAGCCCAAAGGGCAUUGCAUUGAAUUGGGACUAAAGAAGGCUAAAAAACAUGACACCAGUUUUGUUGUAUGCUCCAGUACACCCUUCGACUCUCAGCCCGAAGUUAAUCAGAACUCAAACUCGGCCCUUAACAAUACCCGCGAGGCCAGCAUAUCAGCUCAGCUUCUGAGCUUCAGCAACUGCUAAGCUCAGAAGACCAAGGAGUAGUGAAAGGCUCAGCCAAAUCAAAGUCCAGCGAUGUGAGGGUGAGACAGCCUUCCCAUGUCCUCGUAUUGCAACAUGAAGGACAUUUUAGCUGAAACUAACAAGGGAGAGAACUGUAGAUCUGCACCAGCACAGAGCACCAGCAUUGAUAUCGAGUUGGCCCAGCAACCGCACGAGUCCCGCCUGCAGGAGCCCCAGUCCAGAACAACCCUUCCCCUCCUCUGACUUCUAACUCCUUCCCCUUGACCUCCUGACUGAAAAAGUCAGCAUCGUUGAACAACUCCGUUCUGCAGGAAAUUCUGAGCAUGAUUCUGGUCAAACGUCGAGUUGUCCACACAUAAGCCUGGGUAGUUUUGUUAAGCUAGAGUUCCGCGUGGGCCUGAGAGGGACGAGUUUUACAGACACGAAAAGUUAUAGCAGUAGUUAUGGUAACGCUAACAGUCAGUUGUUGCUGUUGGACAUCACAACAAAUAUCCUGAAGAACAAAAAGUUCAAUAACUUGUUCCAAUCUUUAUGGGACAAACAGAAAUUGAACGGGAGAAAAUCAAGGAACAAUAAAAGCUUAAGCUUUCCUAGUGGGAUGCUUGUGCUGUUGAUAGUUUAGAUGACAGUAGGGUUACGGACUGCCCCAGAUUGUCCAUUCAGCGGCCAAAAUAUCAUAAUAGAACGGACUUUUGGCAAUAUUACCGACAAAGAAAAGCAGUAAUGACUUGGUUGUGAAUACCCAGAGCACGAUACAUCCAUGCUGACACAAAAAGGCAGUAAUGACUUAGUGGUGAAAACCUAGAGCACGCUACAUCCUUGCUGACAAAGAAAUGCAGUAAUGACUUGGUUGUGAAUACCCAGAGCAUGCUACAUCCAUGCUGACACAGAAAGGCAGUAAUGACUAUGCUGUGAACACCCAGAGCAUGCUACAUCCAUGCUGACACAGAAAGGCAGUAAUGACUAUGCUGUGAACACCCAGAGCAUGCUACAUCCAUGCGGAAACAGAAAGGCAGUCACGACUAUGCUGUGAACACCCAGAGCACAAUAUAUCCAUGCUGACACAGAAAGGCAGUAAUGACUAUGCAGUGAACACCCAGAGCAAGAUAUAUCCAUGCUGACACAGAAAAGCAGUAAUGACUAUGCUGUGAACACCCAGAGCACAAUACAUCAUUUGCUGACACAGAAAGGCAGUAAUGACUUGGCUCUGAACACAGAGCACAAUACAUCCAUGCUGACACAGAAAGGCAGUAAUGACUUGGCUGUGAACACAGAGCAACAUACAUCCGUGCUGACACAGAAAGGCAGUAAUGACUUGGCUGUGAACACAGAGCUUAAUAUAUCCAUGCUGACACAGAAAGGCAGUAAUGACUUGACUGUGAACACAGAGCACAAUACAUCCAUGCUGACACAGAAAGGCAAUUAUGACUUGGUUGUGAACACAGAGCGCAAUACAUCCUUGUUGACACAGAAACGCAGUAAUGACUUUGCUGUGAACUCAGAGCACGAUACAUCCAUGCUGACACAGAGAGGCAGUAAUGACUUGGAUGUAAACACCCAGAGCACAAUACAUCCAUACUGACACAGAAAGACAGUAAAGACUUGGUUGUAAACACCCAGAGCACAAUACAUCCAUGAUGACACAGAAAGGCAGUAAAGACCUUGUUGUAAACACUAAGAGAUCCAUACAUACAUGGGGUGUGCCACAGCCGCAAAUUACGCCCACUAUUGUGAACAAGGUGCUUAAAGUGAACAUGUCUGGGUUUGGUAUGAGGACUUAGCACUCCAAGCCCAGAAGGCCUCGCAUUGAAUUGAUGCAAGAGAAGGCUUUGAAAAAUAUUAGCAGUUUUGUUGUGUGGUCCAGUACGCCCUUCGACUCUCAACCUGAAGAAAGCAGAACUCAAACUCGGCUCUUAGCAAUAUCAGCAAGGCCAGCAUGUCAUCUCCGCUUCUUGAGCUUCAGUGAACUUUACUAGCAAACAUGACAAACGUCAUUGAAAUGAAAGUCGAUGACAACCCCCUUCUUGCACAAAUACUACAACUUGCUUAAGAAAAUCAGCAUGAAGACGUCUUGCGUCAGACUACCAAGCCUCCUAUCAAUAUAUCCUCCCAUGUUGGCUACAUCAACACUUCCAACAGCAGAGCCUUGGUGAGUUUGACUUCCGUCUCAGCAUCCAUGUCGCUUAGCAACAAUUGAAUGAUGGGCGUCGACAAAUUAGGCCGGACAAGUCGCUCGAACUGAAACGAUCUGAUCCAACAGAGGAGGUUCCUACAGGAUCCCAUGCAGUCAUAGAUCGGUACCCAGCUGAACAACAGGCUGUCUGGUAAGGUGGGCCCGGAUAGGUGCAGCCAGUCUAAAGCUGGGGCUCCAAACUUUCCUGCCAAGUGGGCUGAUAUUACCUCUUCUACAAGGGACAUAUGUCAGUGAUGCGCAAAGAGCUGGUUUUCUGUUCACAGAGAAAUAUCCUAACAACUCCAACUCAGCCACUACAUCUCAAUAGACAACCCGAAUAUCAAGGCGUUAAGUUUGUUCUGGAUGCAGUUACAGUCACAGCUUUCAAGCCAGCAGCUGUCGAUGUGCUGAGAUUCUCUCCUCUCCAUGUUAUCUGACCUGCUGCCUGUGAACAUCCUGCACAUAGAACCUUUAUCCCAAUCGAUGUAAUUAAACCGGCCAAUCAAAAAGAUAGCCUGGUACAGCACUUGUCAUUAGAUUGACGCCAUGCAUACCUUUGAAGAUCAUUUAUACAUACAAUUUAAGCAUGAUAGUCAAUAAGUGCCUGCGUUGGCUUCUUAAAAAACUCGCAGUCCUGAGCAUUUACGAUGGAAUUCCUCCUCUUGAAAUAUUGGGAAGGCAGGAAAACACCUGACAAUAUU